rnacentral:pre_miRNA from 1 species
AGGACCGCGUUGGAGAAGCAGGGCACGUGCAUGCAUGCAACUAGAGCUUAGCUAGUGUCAAUUCUUCCAUCUCUUGUGCCUGGCCGGGAUCGAUCUUAUAUACCGAGCUUAAUUUGGCACCUAUUGGAUGCUGCAUGCAUGUGUUCUUCUCCUCCAUCACGGUCUU